rnacentral:rRNA from 1 species
GUAGGGAAUCUUCCGCAAUGGGCGAAAGCCUGACGGAGCAACGCCGCGUGAGUGAUGAAGGUCUUCGGAUCGUAAAACUCUGUUAUUAGGGAAGAACAUAUGUGUAAGUAACUGUGCACAUCUUGACGGUACCUAAUCAGAAAGCCACGGCUAACUACGUGCCAGCAGCCGCGGUAAUACGUAGGUGGCAAGCGUUAUCCGGAAUUAUUGGGCGUAAAGCGCGCGUAGGCGGUUUUUUAAGUCUGAUGUGAAAGCCCACGGCUCAACCGUGGAGGGUCAUUGGAAACUGGAAAACUUGAGUGCAGAAGAGGAAAGUGGAAUUCCAUGUGUAGCGGUGAAAUGCGCAGAGAUAUGGAGGAACACCAGUGGCGAAGGCGACUUUCUGGUCUGUAACUGACGCUGAUGUGCGAAAGCGUGGGGAUCAAACAGGAUUAGAUACCCUGGUAGUCCACGCCGUAAACGAUGAGUGCUAAGUGUUAGGGGGUUUCCGCCCCUUAGUGCUGCAGCUAACGCAUUAAGCACUCCGCCUGGGGAGUACGGCCGCAAGGUUG